rnacentral:rRNA from 1 species
UACGUAGGCAGCAAGCGUUGUUCGGAGUUACUGGGCGUAAAGGGUGUGUAGGCGGUUCUUUAAGUUUGCUGUGAAAUCUCCCGGCUUAACCGGGAGGGUGCGGUGAAUACUGAGGGACUAGAGUACGGGAGAGGAGAGUGGAAUUCCUGGUGUAGCGGUGAAAUGCGCAGAUAUCAGGAAGAACACCCGUGGCGAAAGCGGCUCUCUGGGACGGUACUGACGCUGAGACGCGAAAGCGUGGGGAGCGAACAGG